rnacentral:rRNA from 1 species
AUUGAACGCUGGCGGCAGGCCUAACACAUGCAAGUCGAGCGAGCGGCGGACGGGUGAGUAAUGCCUGGGAAACUGCCUGCUGGAGGGGGAUAACUACUGGAAACGGUAGCUAAUACCGCCUACCAUCUGAUGUGCCCAGAUGGGCUUAGCUAGUAGGUGGUGUAACGGCUCACCUAGGCGACGAUCCCUAGCUGGUCUGAGAGGAUGACCAGCCGAACUGGAACUGAGACACGGUCCAGACGCCUACGGCCGGCAGCAGUGGGGAAUAUUGCGCAAUGGGCGCAAGCCUGAUGCAGCCAUGCCGCGUGUGUGAAGAAGGCCUUCGGGUUGUAAAGCACUUUCAGCGGGGAGGCGUUACCCGCAGAAGAAGCACCGGCUAACUCCGUGCCAGCCGCCGCGGUAAUUC